CUGGGAGGGAGCGGGCCGCACGCGUGAGUAAACAGCCUGAGCCGGGAAAGCCGAGCUCUUGCAGCGUCCGGUUGCUGCGGGGCAGCGGUGGAGAGGACGCAGGCCUGGUCUUCGUACGUGGGGUCCGGGCCUCAGGGUGGCCGACAUGACGGCCCCGGGUCCAAACCCCCUCGCCCCGCUGUUAGAGACUUUGGAAGACCCUUUCGCCUCUCAGGGAGAGCAGACCGACGCUUACCUGACUCUGACCAGUCGUAUGACUGGAGAAGAUGGAAAAGAAAUCAUUGCAGAAAUUGAGAAAAAACUUUCUCGGCUAUUCAAAGCUUUAAAGGCUCACAUUGUCAGUCAAAACUCAGAGCUUAGCAGUGCUGCUCUACAGGCUUUGGGGUUUUGCUUAUAUAAUCCCAAAAUUUCCUCAGGAUUAUCAGAGACAGAUAUUCAAGAACUGCUUUCAAUACUGAAUGAUACUGUUAAGAGUUCAGAUAAAAAUGUACGUACUAGGGCACUUUGGGUGAUAUCCAAGCAGACGUUUCCCGCAGAAGUUGUUGGCAGAGUAGUAUCCAAUAUAAUUGAUUCAUUAGAAAUAGUAUUUAAUAGAGGAGAGACGCAUUCUGCUGUUGUUGAUUAUGAAGCAUUAAAUGUCAUCAUCAGGCUAAUUGAACAAGCCCCAGUUCAAAUGGGAGAAGAGUCAAUUAGGUGGGCAAAACUGGUUAUACCUUUAGUGGUUCAUUCGGCCCAAAAGGUACAUUUGCGAGGAGCGACUGCUCUAGAGAUGGGGAUGCCAUUGUUGCUUCAGAAACAACAAGAAAUAGCAUCUAUCACAGAGCAGCUUAUGACUACUAAAUUACUUUCGGAACUCCAAAAGCUAUUUAUGAGUAAAAAUGAGACUUACGUGUUGAAAUUAUGGCCUUUGUUUGUCAAACUUCUUGGGAAGACCUUGCAUCGAAGUGGGAGUUUCAUCAAUUCUUUAUUACAGUUGGAAGAACUGGGAUUUCGUAGUGGCACACCCAUGAUUAAAAAAAUAGCUUUUAUUGCUUGGAAGAGUUUAAUAGAUAAUUUUGCUUUAAAUCCAGAAAUACUAUGUAGUGCAAAAAGACUGAAGUUAUUAAUGCAGCCUUUGAGUUCCAUCCAUGUGAGAACAGAAACUCUAGCACUGACAAAACUAGAAGUCUGGUGGUAUUUAUUGAUGAGACUAGGACCUCAUCUUCCUGCUAAUUUUGAACAGGUUUGUGUACCUCUGAUUCAAAGCACCAUAAGCAUCGAUUCCAGUCCUUUGCCUCAAGGCAAUUCACCUCGUGUAGCUACUUCUCCAGGUUUAAAUCCUAUGAGUCCUAUACACAAAGGUGCUUCUCCAUAUGGAGCUCCUGUAACUCCCCGGAUGAACUUGAGUUCAAAUUUUGGUGGAAUGGCCACAAUCCCCUCUAUUCAACUUUUGGGGCUUGAAAUGUUGCUUCAUUUUUUAUUGGGUCCGGAAGUCUUGAGUUUUGCCAAGCAAAACAAACUAAUACUGAGCUUAGAGCCACUUGAACAUCCGUUAAUCAGCAGCUCUUCUUUUUUUUUCAAACAUGCAAAUACACUUAUCACUGCUGUUCACGAUAGCUUUGUUGCAGUUGGAAAAGAUGCCUCUGAUGCAGUUAUCAUUGCUAUUUGGAAGGAGCUGAUUAGCUUGGUGAAGUCAGUUAUUGAAUCAGGUAACAAAAAAGAGAGACCAGGUUCUGAAGUUUUGACCCUCUUACUGAAAUCUUUGGAAAGCGUGGUGAAAUCAGAAGUAUUUCCUGUGUCAAAAACACUGGUCCUCAUGGAAAUUACAAUUAAAGGACUUCCUCAGAAAGUAUUAGGUUCUCCAGCAUAUCAGGUUGCUAAUAUGGAUAUUCUUAAUGGAACUCCUGCUUUGUUCUUAAUUCAGUUAAUUUUCAAUAAUAAACUCUUGGAAAAUGGUGUAGAAGAUGAAAGGUUUUUUCUCAACCUGGAAACACUUGUACGCUGUGUUCUUUCUGGUCCAACUUCACCACUAGCUUUCAGUGAUUCUGUCUUAAAUGUUAUUAAUCAAAAUGCAAAGCAGUUGGAAAACAAGGAGUAUCUUUGGAGAAUGUGGAAUAUUAUAGUCACUCCAUUAACUGAAUUGAUUAAUCAGACCAAUGAGGUGAAUCAAGGUGAUGCCUUAGAGCAUAAUUUUAGUGCUAUCUAUGGUGCAUUGACUUUACCAGUAAACCAUAUUUUUUCAGCACAAAAAUUUCCAGCGGCCACCAUGAAGACCUUACUUAAAACUUGGUCAGAAUUAUAUAGAACAUUUGCCCGCUGUGCAGCUUUGGUGGCAACAGCAGAAGAGAAUUUAUGUUGUGAGGAACUUUCUUCCAAGAUAAUGUCCAGUUUGGAAGAGGAAGGCUUUUCAAAUUUGUUGUUCUUGGAUAGGAUCACUCAUAUUAUUACUGUAAUGGUUGAUUGCGUUGACUUUUCACCAUAUAAUGUUAAAUAUCAGCCCAAAAUUAAAUCACCGCAGAGACCUUCAGAUUGGUCCAAAAAGAAGAAGGAGCCCCUAGGGAAAUUGGCUUCUUUAUUUAAACUUAUUGUGAGAGUGAUCGAUUCUUUCCAUACUCUGAGCCUCAAGGAAGUACAUUCUGAUACUCUCCUCGCUAUCGGCAACUCCAUCAUCAGCAUUCUUUCCAGUGUACUUGGACAUGUUUCUUUACCUUCUAUGAUCCGAAAAAUAUUUGCAACUUUAACAAGACCUCUGGCGUUACUGUAUAAAAACUCAAAGCUCGAUGAAGUUCCUAAAGUGUAUAGUUGUAUGAACAACAAGUUAGAAAAGCUGCUGGGAGAAAUUAUUUCUUAUCUACACUUCAGCUGCACUGGAGCUUAUGACAGUGAACUUCUUGAACAGAUCUCGCCAUUAUUAUGCGUAAUAUUUUCACACAAGAAUAAACAGAUUCGAAAACAAAGUGCUCAGUUCUGGAAUGCCACAUUUGCUAAAGUGACAAUGUUGAACUACCCUGAGGAGUUAAAACCAAUACUAAUACAAGCCAAACAAAAAUUUCUGCUUCUGUUGCCUGGUUUGGAAAAUGUUGAGAUUAUGGAGGAAUCCAGUGGACCAUAUUCAGAUGCAACAGAAAAUUCACAAUUAAAUAUGACAAUAAGUGGCAUGGAAAGAAAAUCAAGUGGAAAAAGAGAUUCCUUUUUGGCACAAACAAAGAGUACAAAAGAAAGUGUGAAACUACCUGCCAAAUUGCCACUAGACUCUUCAACUCCAAAACCAAAGAGUGAAAUGCCUUUGGAAGAAGAAAAGUCUACUGACUUUGUGUUUAUACCUCCAGAAGGAAAAGAAGCAAAAGAAAGAAUACUAACUGAACAUCAGAAAGAAGUAUUCAAAACAAAGAGGUGUGAUAUUCCUGCCAUGUAUAAUAAUUUGGAUGUUUCACAAGAUACUUUAUUUUCUCAGUAUAGUCAGGAAGAAUCUAUGGAAAUUCCUACUUUAACUGAAAAAUCAAAGGAAGAUUCCAAGAUGGUACUUAAGGAAGAACAAAAGGAAAGUGACAGUGUCAUGCCUCAACUUGUCAUGGAAAACUGUGGUAUGGAUGAACAUCUUGAAAAGGCUUCCUUUUCGAGUAAUGAGUGUGGUUCUAUUGAGAAAACCAAUCCAGAAAUACUGAGCAGUAAUAAUGAUGCCAGAAAAAAAGCUUUAAUUGCAUCAAAGAAAACGCCGACCGAAUGUGCACCUAGUACAGAAAAUACUUAUGGUGUCAGCAGUAGCUCUAAUGCCACUAUUCCUGGAGCUCCCCCACAGCCUACAAGUCGAAGGCAGUCUUUUAUUACUUUGGAGAAGUUUGAUGGUUCAGAAAAUAGACCUUUUAGUCCAUCCCCCUUGAAUAACAUGGCAUCAACUGUUACAGUGAAAAAUAACCAGGAAGGCACGACUAAAACGGAUAAUCCACCAAAAGCAAGGAAAAGAGAAACGGCUCUUUCAAAAUCUGACUCUGAAAAAAUAGUGCAUGGAAGUAAGAGAUCAGGCCGCAGGUCAAGUAAAGCUGAACAAAUAGGAAAUAAAAAGUCUAAGCCCUUAAUGAAGUCUGAUCAGGCAAAAAGUACUCAGGAAUCUGCUGAUGGCAUGGUAGCCUUAGAAAAUAACCCACCUGAUUUGCUUAAUCAAACAGAAUGUGUGUUAGAUAAUCAGGUUCAUCUCUCUGAAUCUACAGUGGAGUGUGAGGAUAUAAUGCUUAAACCAACAGUAGAAAAUGCUGUGUUAUUAGAAAACAAUACUGUAGAAGAGAAAGCCUUAGAAAUAAAUUUGGAGUCCAAAGAAAAUACACCCCCAGCCAUAAUAACAGCAGAUCAAACAGUAAAUGAGGAUAGUCACAUUCAGAUAACUUCAAAUCAAAAAACCCUUAGACGAUCUUUAAGACGACGUUCAGAAACAACAGAGCCAACCACUGAUAGCCAAGAUAAAGAAAAUAAUCAUCAGAAAAGGGAAAGACGUAAGGAAGAAGAAAAGACUCUUCAGAAAAGUCCACUGCAGGUAAAAGAUGAUUUGUUACCUAAACAAAAACUGAUUUCUGAACAAACUGUACAGGAAAAUUUAAUUGAGAAAGGAAAUAAUUUACAUGAGAAGACUUUUGGGGAAACCAGCACUAACUCUGAAACUGAUGAAAAUAGAAGAAAGCCAGAUCUUGAGAAUACUAAAUCUGAGGGAGAUGGUGCCCAGGACAUUGCAGAUAAAUCCUCUGAGAAAUCAGUAAGGGGACGAACACGAUACCAAACAAGAAGAGCAUCCCAGGGUUUACUUUCCAGCAUUGAAAACUCAGAAUCUGAUAGUUCUGAGGCAAAAGAAGAGAGUUCUAAAAAGAAGAGAUCUGGAAAAUGGAAAAACAGAAGCAAUGACAGUGUUGACAUUGAAGAUCCAGAAGAGAAAAUGGUAAAACAAGAAUGUAUAAAAGUUGAACAUGAAACACAUGAUUAUAAAGUGAAUUUUGAAGUAGACACAGACAUAAAAUCUCAGAUCUGUGAAAAAGAUGAAAAUAAUACUGUAAUUCUUCAAGAUUCUACAGCAUCUUCAGACUUACUACAAGUUUCUGAUGAUGUAGCAGAUACUUACGAGGGAAAAAGUAAAACUAGCAGAUAUUCAGAAAGUCCCUUUUUAAAUCUUCCUGUACCAGAAUCAAAUCUAAGGACUAGAAAUGCCAAUAAGAGAUUGCAUAAGCGCGAUUCUGUAGAAAAUAGUGUGGGGGAAUCUUCAAAAGUAGGGACAGCAGAUAUUUCUUUGCUUUCUGAAAAAACUCUCCAAACACUUGAAUGCCAACACAAGAGAAGUAGGAGGGUGAGGAGAUCUAAGGGUUGCGAUUGCUGUGGAGAAAAAUCACAGCCUCAGGAAAAGUCAGUUGGGUUAAAGGACACAGAAAAUUAUGAUGUAAAGGUCAGUGAAACAAAAAAGACAGAUGUGCGAACACCUGUAACUAUCUCAGAAACUUCUAAAGCUGAUCUGCACUCCGAAGUAAAACUUUUAGAUGAGCAUCAUACUGUGAAUUUUCAUUUAGAUCUCAAGGAGGAGAAUGAUACUACUAAUGAUUCACCAAUUGUGUCUGAAACUGAGCUGAAAGAAAAUACUAUUCAAGACUCUCUUCCUUCUGGAAUGGUAAAUUUUAAAGAAACUUGUGAUAGGAAUUCUAAGGAACCAACAUCUCUUGAAAGUCAGGAGCCAUCCAGUAAAAAAUGUAAAACUAGUGGCCUAUGUUUAGAUGAUACCAAAGAUACUUCACUGGAAUGUUUUACUUUGGAGACCAAAGAAGAAAAGCCAGAGGCUGUCUCAAAAAAGGAAUCGAGUAUAGAGAAUAUUGUUAAUGUUGAAGCAAAUGCAUGUGAAGUAAAAGCAGAAAUGAAUCCAGAAGAAGUAGAUGCUAUGGAAUUGGAUGUUGAAAGUGAUAAAUCUGAAGUUAGCGUCUCUGAACAAAAGAGUGUCAAAACUGGUAUUUCAGAGAAAGAGUUAACUGAGGAAAACAGUGAAAGAAGGGAUGAAUCUGAAGCAGAUGCAGCUGAAGAAGCAGUAACUGAGGAUUCAGGUAUUGGUCAUUCUGAUAAUAGCACACCUGUAAAACUGAGUGCUCAGAUAGAGAUUUCUGAACAGACAGCAGUUGGGGAACUAGACAGAGGAGGUAAUGAAUCUAAUCCAGACUCAUCUGAAGAAAUGAAUGCUGAAAUGGGAAGUUGUGCAGAAACAGUGAUUGGCGAGGUGACUGCUGAAACUGACCAUGUCAGUGAAGCAGAGGACGAGGACUUGACUAUCAAAGCCUCUGAGCCUGUAGAAGCUGAGAUGAAGAGGUUAUAUGUAGAAAUCAAUAACUUUGUUCCCGACACACUUGAGACGAGCACUAAAGAAGGAAACGUUAACUCUAAUAAAACUGAAACAAAUACUGAAUGUAAUGAAUUUGAGGAAACAAAAUUAGAUGACAAUCAAAUGGUAGCAGGAAAUGAUGGAGUUUUACAAGAAGAUCAUCAUACUUCAGAGAAAGUGGAGGAAACAGCACAACCUCUGACUUCUGGAACAGCUGUCUCCGAACUUAUAUCAGAAGACAAUAAUACAUCUCCUCAAAAAUUAGGGGAUCUUGAUCCUUUACUCGCAUCAGCAAAUGACAGUCCUAGUGGCAUGCAAGGACGCUGUGUCUGGUCUCCUUUGGCUUCUCCAUCCACCAGCAUUUUAAAGAGAGGACUAAAAAGAUCCCAAGAAGAUGAGAUCUCAUCACCUGUUCACAAGGUUCGCCGUGUCUCCUUUGCAGAUCCAAUAUACCAAGCAGGAUUGGCAGAUGACAUUGAUAGACGAUGCUCUACUGUUAGGUGCCAUUCUUCAAAUAGUUCUCCCAUGGUAAAAAGUGUUAAAACUUCACCUACUGCACAGUAUAAGCAUAAUACCACUUCAGCCAAAGGAUUUCUGUCCCCAGGAUCACGUAGCCCUAAAUUUAAGAGCUCAAAGAAGUGUUUAAUUGUAGAGAUGGCUAAGGAAUAUAUGCCAUGCCCAACAGAAAGCAUUUACCCUGCCUUGAUGAACUGUGUGGCACCGGUUGACAUCAUUUUACCUCAGAUUACGUCCAACAUGUGGGCGAGAGGACUGGGACAACUCAUCAGAGCCAAGAAUAUAAAAACAAUUGGUGAUUUGAGUACUCUUACAGCAUCUGAAAUAAAAACUCUUCCUAUACGUUCUCCUAAAGUGUCUAAUGUAAAAAAGGCUCUCAGACUAUAUCAUGAGCAGCAGGUGAAGUCUCGUGGACUAGAAGAGAUUCCAGUUUUUGAUAUUUCCGAAAAAACAAUGAAUGGAAUGGAAAAUAAAUCUCUCUCUCUUGAUGAAGAAAGACUUGCCUCAGAUUUAAUUGAUCCUGUUGCUUUAGAGAGUCCACUGUCAAAAAAUCUUCUGGCACAGAUUAGUGCACUAGCUCUUCAAAUGGAUUCAGAAGAUCUCCAUAAUUACUCAGGAAGCCAAUUAUUUGAAAUGCAUGAGAAACUUGGUAGCAUGGCAAACUCUAUAAUCAAAAAUUUGCAGUCACGUUGGAGGUCACCAGCCCACGAAAAUUCUAUUUAGUAUUCUAAGAGAAAAUUUAAGUUUAAAAAAAAAUCACUGAUAUACUGAUUUCAUAAAAUAAGUUCUGGUAAUAUAGCACAAUUUCAGACUGAACAAUUGCGAAGUUGGUAACAUUUCAAACUCUGAAAGUCAAAUGAUUUAUUCAGUUAUUACAGGAUAUUGAAUUUUGUUCCCUAUGUUAAACAGUAAGUUCUUGUUACUUAUUAUUUUAUGUAUAGUAGUGUGAAUCUUAAUCCUAUACUCCUAAUUUAUCCCUCCCCCUCCUUGCCUUUCUCCUUUGGCAACUGCAAGUUUGUUUUCUAUGUCUGUGAGUCUGUUCAUUUGUAUUUUUUAGAUUCCACAUAGAAGUGAUAUUUGUCUUUGAUUUCACUUAGUAUGAUAUUAUCUAGGUCCAUCCAUGUUGCUGCAAAUGGCAAUAUUUCAUUCUUUUUUAUGGCUGAGGAAUAAAAAAAAAUAUACACACACACAUACACAUCUUGAACUCAUCAUCUGUUCAUGGGCAUUUGGGUUGUUUUCAUGUCUUGGCUAUUGUAACUAGUGUUGCUUUGAACAUUGAGGUGUAUGUAUCCUUUCCAAUUAGAGUUUUGUCUUUUCCAGAUGUGUGCCCAGGAGUUGGCUUGCUGGAUUAUAAGGUAACUCUAUUAUUAGUUUUUUAAGGAACCUUCGUACUGUUUUCCAUAGUAGAUGUAGCAGUUUACAUUCCCCCUACAACAGUGUACAAGGGUUCCCUUUUCUCCACACCCUCUCCAGCAUUUAUUAGUUGUAGACUUUUUUUAUGAAGGCCAUUCUGACGGUGUAAGGUGAUACUUCAUUGUGGUUUUGAUUUGCAUUCCUCUAAUAAUUAGCAGUGUUAAGCAUCUUUUCAUGUACCUGUUGGUCAUCUCUGUCUUCUGUCGGAGAAAUGUCUUAUUUAAGUCUUAUGCCAUUUUUUUGAUUGGGUUGUUUGGGGCUUUUUUGAUAUUGAGCUGUAUGAGCUGUUUGUGUAUUUUGGAAAUUAACCCCUUGUAGGUCACAUCAUUUGCAGAUUAUUUUCUCCCAAUCUGUAGGUUGUCUUUAUUUUGAUGGUUUCCUUUCCUAUGCAAAAACUUUUAAGUUUGAUAGAUCCCCAUUUGUUCAUUUCUGCUUUUAUUUCUUUUUGUCUUGGGAGAUUGUACAUCCAUACUUUAAGAGAAAAAAAUGUAAAAUAGACCUAGUCAUGUUGAAACAUACUGUGUUAGUUUACUGUGGCUGCUGUAACAGCCAGAGAGUGCCUUAAAUAACAAAUGUAUUGUCUUGUUCUGGAAGCUAGAAGUUUAAGAUAAGGUAUCCACAAGGGUUGGUUCUGAGGACUGUGAAGAAGGCUGUUACAUGCCUCUCGCCUAGCUUCUGGUGGUUUGCUGUCAAUUUUUGGCUUUCCUGGCAUGUAAAAGCAUCACCCCAAUCUCUGCCUUCAUUUCCACAUGCAUUCUCAGCUAGUGUACUAGCUGUGAGUCUCAGAGAGACACACGUUAAGAAGUUUGAGGAUAGCAGUAUUACUACAGCUCUAAAGUAACAUGGACAGAACUUCUGCUUUUUAGAAAGGAUACCCUAUAAACUUGAGCAUUAAGCCGUUAUUGGUUGGCACUCCACCCUUUGUCCAUUUAAUGCCUUUGCCACAAACUGCUAGCCCACUGAUAAAAGACAUGGAAGAUCCCUUGAGGUUAGCAUUGGUUUCUAAAACUUUCUUUUGCAGGAACUUAACGUUAAUUUUAUUGUAUUUUUCAUUUUAUUGUGUAAUGUUGCUAAAUGUGUUUAGUAUCCCUUAAUUUUACUUAAAACUAAAACUUUAUGAGCCAAGCUAUACAGGAAGCUUGCUGAACACAAAUAUGGAUAGUUUUGAGAACAGCUACACUUGUGCAUUUUUAACAGUGCAUUUUUUUUAAGUUUAAUUUUUUUUAGUGAAGUCUAGUGUAAGGGAUUUGCUUUGAUGAAGUUUUUAUCAUCUGUAGAUCUUAAAAUUAAUAAAAUAAGGCUCAUUCCAUCAGUGGUAUUUGUUGCAGAAUUACAGAUUUUAUUAGUUACUAGCUUAUUACCAGUUUACAUUGACUCAGCUUUAGAACGUCAGAACUGGCUUAGAAAUAAAAGCAUCAGCAGUCAGUAAGCAGGGAAACGGUGACUAUCUGCUAUUUGUUUUUUUUUUUUUUUUAAAUGUGUUUAACAUGAUCAGAACCCUUGUUUUAGAGAAGAAAUAAUGUUAAACAACAUUUUUAUAAUGUAGAAACACUCUGGGUUGAUACAGCAAUAAUUAACAGUGCAGAAACUUUUAAAAUGUCUGUUUGGAAAUUAAACUUUAAAACCCAAAGGAAA